CACAAGGCUAUGUUCAUGCACUACUUCGGUAUAAUCUCAAAAUAAUUGCCAGCUCCCCAGUGGAACGCCUGCCUUGGUCCAUGUGGAAUGUGGGCAUAUGGUAGGAUUUCCUUGGAGGAACUAGAAGAGGAACAUAAAGAAUGUUAGGCAUAUAAAUUAUUGUUUCUUUUUCUUCUUGUUUCUUUCCACUGAGUUAUGUGUGAGCCCCCACACCCACCCUACCUUCCUGUCCUCUACCUUACUGAUGCUAUUUUCAGGCUGUUGUAGAAUUGGGUGUGUAAAAUUAAAUUAGCCUUUCUCCUCUUAAUAUCUGUAAAAUGAACAAAUUUGACAAAGAAACUACCUAUCUGAUAUAUAAGAAGGUUAUUAGCCUGUACCACAAGUGAAAAAGUUUCAUCCUGAUAUAUCAAAAUAGUACCACUUGAAGGAAAACGUUGGGGCCAUCUGUUUCUCUCAUUGUAGUUAGAGUACAGAUUUUUAAAAUAUGAGCCUCAGGCAUAAAAAUGCAGUAUUAGCAACUCAACUUGAAGAAGCAGUUACUAGUGUCCUGGGUGGGCCCCAGGGAAAAUAGUACCAACUGCCUGUUAUAUUUAACUGCAAUUAAAAAUGGCAGUGCUGGGUAUCUUCUGUCUCUGGGUCAUCUCCUAAAGAUCCUGCAGAGGGAGCCAUAGCUAGUGUAGAGGCCAGCCAUAACUAGCCAUGGCAAAGACCACAGGGAACGCUCUUCAACAUGCUCUGCACUGAUCCUCUACCCUGGUGUGGAGAAAUGUCAGAUUCAUCACUAACAAGGUUAAAGGUGUAAAUUGAGGGAAAAAAAUGAGAAAAGUUAUCUUUCACAUAAGACUUCAGAAAGAAAUUGCGUCGUCAGGUUUGGAACUGGUUUGUAAUUUCAUCCAGUUAUUUUCAUUUUAAUUACUGUCACUGUUUUCUUCAUCCUUGAUAAACUAUGAGCUCUUUGAGAUUGUCUUUUUCAUAUCCUGAUGUCAGAGCUUCCUGUAUUUUCUGAUCAUGGUAUGUGCUAAGUAAAUGCAAUUUUUAGCAUUUUGAAUGGUUUAUCAAAUGAUUGAAGGAGUGGGUAAUAAUAUAGAUUACAUAUACAGUCAGCCACAUAUGUGUAUGUAUGUGUAUUUGUGUGUGUGUGUGUAUAUGUAUAUACUGUUGACCCUCCGUAUCAAUGGGUUUCACAUUUGUGGAUUCAUCCAAUCAUGGAUCAAAAAUAUUCUUUAAAAAUAUGGUUGCAUCUGUACUGAACAGGCACAAACUUUUUUUCUUAUCAUUAUUCCCUAAACAAUGCAGUAUGACAACUAUUUAUCAUAGCAUUGACACUGCAUUAGAUAUGAUAAGUAAUCUAGAGAUUAAAGUAUAUAGGAGGAUGCAUGUGGAUCAUAUGCAAAUAAUACACUACAUCUUAUAUAAGGGACUUGAACAUCCAUGGAGUUUGGUAUGUGGUGGGUGAUACCUCCUCUUUGAGGAGGUGAGUAUCAGAGACGCAGGUAAAUAUGAUCCAGAGGGCAAAGAGGCAUUGCCAGCCUCACACUGGCUGUCAACACCAUGCUGAGUUCCACGAAAGCAGCGAGGAGAGGGUGGUGUUCUUGUUUCUGGUACAAUACCUGGCAUAGAGAAGAUGUCACAGCAAUGUUCGUCUAUUGAAUAAGUCACCAAAAUUGUGAAUGACUGAAUAAAUGGGCAAAGGGAUUUGUUCCCUACUUGCUGUGGGAAGUUUCUUGUAGUUAUGACCUCCAUGAAAGAGAGACUCGUAUCUGGAGAAAGUUCAUAGCUGAAACCAUGAGAUUUAACUUUUGAAGUUAUAAUGGAUCUAUUUUUUUAACAUCAUAAAUGAAGAUUAUGCAAUACUGUAUGUGCUUCAAUUGACACAACCCCUUCCCAUUCAGGGCUGAUUUAUGUUCUGUACUGAAUGACAGGCACAGAAGUAAAUGUGAUAAUCCUGUCCCGUCGUUACCCUUUAUUGUGGUCUUGCUGUGUCCCAGCCACACACUUCAUACUGUAUCUGUGUCAUCAUUCUCAUAUACAUCUAUAUAGGUACACUUCCAUAGACUUAGGCCCAUUUAAUGGAGGAGCAACUCCAACAUUUAGAGAUCAUGAAAGGUACCUCAUGACAUAUAUUGACCUAGUGGCAGAGCUGCUUAGUUCUACAGCCUCUGAGUGGAAUCCUCACGACAGUAAAAACACAAGCUUGGUUUCUCACACACUCUACCUGCUUUUUCUCAUCCCCUUUAGUCUCUAUUCCUUGCUGAGAUGUGUUAGGCAUUAAAUGGUUACAGUCUACUUCUGUGUGUAGUCUCCAAACACUCAGAAACCUCAAAAUUUAAAAAAAUACAGAACAAUAUGUUAUUAAAUAAUCAGGGACAAGUUAAAAUGGUAAAGAGAAUAGGCCACUUUGUGAAAUCAUAUGC
rnacentral:lncRNA from 1 species